AGAAUGUUGAGGGAAUGCAAACCCAUGCAAUCAGCUGUUCUAACAAAGCAUUCACAUGAAUGCAAAUCCAUGCAACAAACAAAAUAUAAUUACAGGCAUAGUGAAUGGCAUCGAGAAACUAAGGACCACGAGGCUUGCCGAAGCAGAAACAACGAGAUGCCUGGUCUUCGGGUCGCCUUUCUGGAUUUGCAUCCCAACAUCUUCUCAUGAUAUUUGCCAAGGAACUCGGGCAACAUCGAGGGAUUUCUGGUCGUAAAUUCUGUUGCAAAGAGUGUUUAUAUUUAUGGUGUGAAGAAUGAAAAGUCACAACCUUUAGAAGAAAUCAACAUACCUGCUGCACAACUGCAGAUGAGACUUCAGCAAAACUGAGAUCUGGGUAAGGCAUAUCGCAACAAUAUGUUUCCCACAAACAUAUACCAAAACUAUACACAUCACAUUUACGAUUAUAAGGCUUGCCAUCAAGGACCUGUAGAAGAAAUCUUGUCAAAAUUACAAUUCAAAUGAGAAUUGGAUCUGUUAAGGUCAAGCAUUCUAUGACUAAGAAACCUCUGGGGCCAUGUAACCAAGGGUGCCAGUCUCUCCAGUCAUAUCCCUUGGGUUCUGUGCUUCGACUCGGGCGACGCCAAAAUCAACGAUUUUCAGAGUCUUCUGAGCAUCUAGCAGCACAUUUUCUGUUUUGAUAUCACGGUGUACAAUCUUUUUGGAGUGUAGAUAGCUCAAACUGCAAGAUCAAAAUAUGCAAUAGCCUCAAAACUCAAAUCCAAAACAUUGGCAUAUUGGAAUGAUUUGUAAAUGUUUACUUACCCUCUAGAAAGAUCCAAAACAAGUUGAAUUACAACCUUAAGUGCAAGUUUCUUUUUCCUAUUUUUUAUUAAAAAUCCCUUUAGUGUU